UGUUAUAUAACAAUCCAUACUGGUAUGAUAAGAAGAUAUCCAAUCCAUACCAAGUAUAAUAUCAAAACUCUAAAUCUCUAGGAGAACUAAAUCAGUAAAAAGUUCAAGUUCUCCAAUAAAAAUCAGACAAGAGGACCAGAUUCAAGUUCGUUAUCAAAGAAUCUCCAAUGAUCGUAUUUACAUAUAGCACAUAAUGCAGUGGUCUAGGUUGAAUACCCAAGU
rnacentral:lncRNA from 1 species